GGCGGAAACAUUCUUCCUACUCAUUAACUGUAUGUUUAAAACAAACCAAAUGUAAUGCGCUGACCUUCUAACCACUAAAUUCCCCAUUCCAAGGGAUUUUAAUUAGCUUACGCACGAUGUUUCAUUGAAUGCAGAAAGAAAAUAAGAAAAUAAGAAAAGGAGCUUUGCAAGAUUUUAACCGUGAGGCAUGCGACUACAAACUAAGCUAAAGAAAAGAAUGUGUAGGAAUUUAAAGAUACUGACAAGAUUCAGGCUUUAUUUUUUAUGGUUGACAUUAUUGAUCAACUGAAUAAACAGAAACCCAAAAUACAAGAAAACACCAAGAUGGUGAUUGAACAGUCUUCAUACAUGGAAUUCUGGGUCUAGCGGAUAUUGAAUUUAUUGAAUUUAUUUCACUUUGUAACUUUGAAAUCACUCGAAUCUUCUAAUUAUAAAAGAAAAUUCAGAUCCAAGAAGAGACCUUGAAAAAGGAUUCUUAGAUUUAUAUGAAACGAAGCCAAAAAUUUUCAUUUUUUUCUUGACAUGGUCAUAGUUCCUAUAGAAGUGAAAUACAUGAAGUGUGAUUUAGUUCUUGAGGAUAAGUUUUCGAUGUAGACAUAGAAGCAUGUUUUCAGUUUUGGGGAGAUACUAUCCUGAAGUUCGACUAUUUGCUGCCAGAAAAUAUCUAUAGUUGGAAGUUUAUGUUAGCGAAUAGUU